GGUCCGUUAGCUCAGUCGGCAGAGCAUGGUGCUAAUAACGCUAAGGUCAUGGGUUCGAGCCCCACACGGACCA
rnacentral:tRNA from 1 species